rnacentral:lncRNA from 1 species
CUUAUCAGAGCGAGUACGUGUCAUCAGGGGAAUAUAGGGGUCGGUCGUGGCGGCAUCAACUCCUUAAGGGAUCCAGCUUCUGAAGAGAAUUCGGUGAAAUUAUCAGACGGCCCAAACGAACGAGAUCGCAGAAGAGGGAUGGUUUUUUUGAGAGGUUUUGGAGAGAGAAAGUUUUAGAGAAAUAAUUUGUGUGAAAUUGUGAAUUUGCAACAAAUUGGAUAAAAUAUUAAAUUUGAUUUCAACUUCCCAAAAUGUAUCAUAAUGAUAUUAGAUCCGGAUGUUCACGGCUUCAUAUCAAUCAUUCUAAAUAUCAACCUAACUUUGCUGAUACUCGGUACUAGAAGAGUAGAAGUGGGAACAAACCGAUUCCAAUUUAGAGUUCCAAUAAUCAAAUUGGUGUACCUAGACACCGAGUAAGAUAGCCGUCGCCGCAAUCGAGGUCGUCACUACACACUCGUCGCCGUCUGAGUCUCCGGAAGAGCUCGUCCUAAUCGGAGAGUUGUCGUCGUCCGUCGCCGAUUAAGAUAGCAGCCGCUGCAAUCGAGGUCGUCACUAGACACUCGUAUCCGUGACUCUGGGUCUCCGGAAGAGCUCGUCCUCAUCGGAGAGUCGUCGUCCGCCGUCGCCAUGGAGUAGGGUUCAGAAAGGGGUUUUGCUUCCCUCGACUAUGUGAGUUCGCGAGAGAGAGGAGGGAGGAAGGGCAUUAGGAUAGGGUUGACUGUGUGUUGACUGUUGGGAAAGAG